AGCGAACGCUGGCGGCAUGCUUAACACAUGCAAGUCGCACGGUCAGCAAUGGCAGUGGCGGACGGGUGAGUAACACGUAGGAAUCUAUCUCUGGGUGGGGGACAACCAUGGGAAACUAUGGCUAAUACCGCAUGAUACCUGAGGGUCAAAGGCGUAAGUCGCCUGGAGAGGAGCCUGCGUCUGAUUAGCUUGUUGGUGGGGUAAAGGCUUACCAAGGCGACGAUCAGUAGCUGGUCUGAGAGGAUGAUCAGCCACAUUGGGACUGAGACACGGCCCAAACUCCUACGGGAGGCAGCAGUGGGGAAUAUUGGACAAUGGGGCAACCCUGAUCCAGCAAUGCCGCGUGUGUGAAGAAGGUCUUCGGAUUGUAAAGCACUUUUGGCAGGGACGAUGAUGACGGUACCUGCAGAAUAAGCCCCGGCUAACUUCGUGCCAGCAGCCGCGGUAAUACGAAGGGGGCUAGCGUUGCUCGGAAUGACUGGGCGUAAAGGGCGCGUAGGCGGCACAUACAGUCAGAUGUGAAAUUCCUGGGCUCAACCUGGGGACUGCAUNUGAUACGUGUGAGCUAGAGUGGAGAAGAGGGUCGUGGAAUUUCCAGUGUAGAGGUGAAAUUCGUAGAUAUCGGAAGGAACACCGGUGGCGAAGGCGGCAACCUGGUCUUUAGCUGACGCUGAGGCGCGAAAGCGUGGGGAGCAGACAGGAUUAGAUACCCUGGUAGUCCACGCUGGAACGAUGUGUGCUGAUGUUGGGGACUAGUUUUCAGUGUCUACCUACGCGAUAGCACUCGCCUGGGAGUACGGCGCGAGGUUGAACUCAGAGAAUGACCGGGGCCGCACAACGGUGAGCAUGUGGUCAGU
rnacentral:rRNA from 1 species